rnacentral:lncRNA from 1 species
UUUAUUAUUAAUUUAAUGUUUGCAUGCUGGCUUGCAUAUUUUUAAAACAAGUUAUUUAGUAUAAACAUUAGGCAGUUUAUAUUUACUGUAUUUACUGUUUGCUUUAUCAACAUGUAGAAGGUCUUGAGUUUGCUGACGUUAUUCUCAAAAUGCUUUCAGGUAAUUGUUGUCAAACAAGAGUUGAUAAUUUGCAUUUUCUUGAUGAUUACUAAUGGUGAGUAUUUUUUCUUUUCUUUUUAUUUUAUUUUAUUUAUCUUAUUUUUAUUUUUAUUUUUUAUUUUUUUUGAGAUGGAGUCUCCCUCUGUCGCCCAGGCUGGGUUAGGUUAUUUGCCAGACAAACAAUAAUGACAAAUAACCUUGAAAAAGAAAGUAUGUUGAUAUCUCU